CUACGCUGCGAUAAGCCGUGGGGAGCUGCGAAGAAGCUUUGAUCCACGGAUUUCCGAAUGGGGAAACCCACCUUCGAUAGCCGGAACUCCAAGAUCUUGUGUUUUGGGGUUCGACCAGAAAUGGAAGAAAUCAGACCGCGAGGUUUUGGAUUUCCGGUUAUCAAGAGAAGGUAUGAGACUUCCGAAUAAAAUAGGAGGUUUUAAGCGAACCCAGGGAACUGAAACAUCUAAGUACCUGGAGGAAAGGACAUCAAUCGAGACUCCGUUAGUAGUGGCGAGCGAACGCGGACCAGGCCAGUGAUACAUCAAAGACAAUCGGAACCUGUCAGGAAAGCAGGGCCUCAGAGGGUGAUAGCCCCGUACGAGUAAUGCGAUGAUGUAUCCACGAGUAAGGCGGGACACGUGUAAUCCUGUCUGAACACGGGGGGACCACCCUCCAAGCCUAAGUACUCCUCAGCGACCGAUAGU
rnacentral:rRNA from 1 species